rnacentral:snoRNA from 1 species
ACAGGUUGCCAUUAUAGCAUUGCAUUUUAUUUAUUAAAUAUCGUCAUUAUUGUACUGAAAUAAAAGCUAUGCUGAUCAUUUUUUAUUUUGCCUUUAGGAAGUUAAAAUCAUUACAAUUGACAUGCAGAAUU